AUUUUAAAGUAGAAGAUUUGAAGCCAAGCAUAGAGCCAUAAUCUCACUGCUGGCUACAUAAAAAUGUCAACGUCCUGGAUGAAUGCUCUUGAGAUUUUAGUGGCUGGAAGGUGACUUCAUAAAUCCCUGUUUUAUUAAGAUGUCUCUUGAAUGUCCACUCAGUUAUGUGAAAAGUAAAAGAUGAGCACUUACUACUGAGCUUACACCAGAUGACCAUGUGUAUGUGACCAUAUAUUCACUGGGACAUUGCCAGAGCCAUGCUGCACUUUGAUCUGGGACAGCUGGAGCAGUUAACUCAGAAAUCAGCUGUGAAUCAUACAUCCCAAACCUGCCAACGAGUGGCAGGGGGUGGCAGUGCCUGUCAUUUCUCUACUUUUGGAAAAGAUUGGAACCCUGAUGGCACAGACAAACUGCAGUUUCCAUGACAGAUCUCAGAAAAAAAAUGUUCCCCAGGAGAUUUUUUUUGGAUAUCACCAUUUCUCAGUGACCCUGUGGAUCCCAAUCUGCUUCCAGGGUGUGGUAAAACUGACACCAAGCAAAAAAACCAGGAGGAAAAGGACACAAGGAAAGCAAGACUAAACAGUUUCAUAUCCCUGGAGCACUGAAGUUUACUGUACUGUUGAGUGAAAUCUGAGACACGACAACCAUGCUGGCAUUUCUGCUGUAUGAAGAAUCAACCCUUAAUCCAGGGUCUCUGCCAGACUGUCACUGGUACACAGCACUGAGGAGAGAACACCAAGAGGAUGGAACAAAAUGAGGAAAUUGCCUCCCGGGUGCUGUUUUGAUACCCCACUUGUGAACAUCUCCCCGGCUGUCUGCUCAGCUCAUCUGAAGGAGAAUAAGGAAAGGAUUUUCAUCAUUUAAUGGAGCACAUCUCCAUUUAUACACCAAAUUUAUACACCGUCAUA